ACAAACUCAAGGGACUGGGUUGCAGUCACACAACUGUGAUUCCAGCUGUAAGUGUAACCCUGGAACUGAUGACAGGCUGUGCCCCCACAAGGGCCUUCCCUUAACUGGCUUUAAGAAACCUUUUCUCACUGCAUGAGUCACUGAUUUGUUCUUGAAACUCCCUGCAAUGAAAUGAAGGACCCAAAAGCAUUUAAUUGUUGAACACAUAAAAGGAAGUAUAUUUAAAAUAAAAAAAAUUGGUCAGACUGUAGAGUCAAUUACCAUUUUUAAAGGAAUUUACAGGGCUGUUGUAGAUGAGUCUUUUGGAAUAGUCAGUUUAUCGCAGUGCCUAAACUGGUUUCUUCAUUGCACAGUAUUUUCUUUUAAAAUGUGUGCAUUUUUAAACAAUUACAUACAUAUUAAAAAUCAGCAUUUCUUUGCUUAAACUUAAUUAAAACGUUAAUACUCUCAGACAACACAGAUCUGAAAUGGUGAAACCAGUAAUUGCCCCCUCCCACCUUACAACAAAUUAAAUUGAGACAAAAUUACAAACACAUUUCACUACAUGAUUAUUAUUAAUAAAAAUCAGUUUGGUUUUUUUUUUUUUUUUUAUAAAGUUGCCCAAAAUGCAAGGGAUGUGCAUAGGUUUACAACUCAGUCAGAAUAAUAUUUUACUUUAUUCCCUUGGGUACGUGUUCCCAUGAACGGAAUGUACUUUGCUGUAGAUUACAGGUUUUAUCAACACAGAUACACCAACGGCAUGAACGCUUGCGACUGUCCACAUGCAUUAAGAGUCAAGACCCAAUUUCAAAUUUCUAAAAGUUUUACAUAGUUCUUCAAAGAGACAGUAUCACAUUAUCUGGAUGUUACACAAAAGUACUUAAAAACACUAUCCUAGGAAAAAAAAAGCAAAAAAAGGCCUUUAAAAUUAAUGAAUUUGUUUCGUAACCAC